UUUUUAUUCUUUUAUUAUUUAUUUUUUUUAUUAUUUUUAUUUAUUAUUUUUUAGUUUAUUAAUUAAAUAAUUAAUUAUUUUAUACUGUUAAGGAUUGUUUUAAAAUUAUGAAUUUAAUUUUUUGUACCUUUUGUAUCAGGGUUAAUUUAAUUUUUUAUUUAUAUUAUUUUCCCGAAUCGAAUUGAUCUUUAUUAAUAUUAAUUUCUUGUUUUAUAAAGUUUUAUUAUUUUAAUAAUGUAAUUAAAAGUUAUUCGUUUUUCGUUAUAUCUGGUUAUCUAAUAUUAAAUUUAAUUUUGAUUAUUUUUUAUAAUUUAUUUAAUGAGGGAUAAUCUUCAUUUAUUUCUAAAAUUUUUAUUUUAUUUAUAUUAUUAUGAUUUGAAUUUUCAUUUUAGUUUUUAAUAAAUUGGAUUAUUUUAUUAAGAUUUAUUUCUUAUUUAGUAUCUUAUUAGUUUUUUUUAUUUAAUAAUACUUUUUAAUUAAUACUGAUUAAAUUAGUAUAAUUUUUAAUUAUUUUAUAAUGAACUCGGCAAUUUUAAUUUUCAAAUGUUUAACAAAAACAUUUCUUUUAGAAUUUUUUUUAAAAGUAAUAUCUGCUCAAUGAUUAGUUUUAAAUAGCUGCAGUAUUUUGACUGUACUAAGGUAGCAUAAUAAUUAGUCUUUUAAUUGGAGUCUGGAAUGAAUGAUAAAAUGAGAAAUUAUCUUUAUUUAAUUUAUUAUUAAAAUUUAAUUUUUAAGUGAAAAAGCUUAAUUAAUUUUUUGGGACGAGAAGACCCUAUAGAACUUUAUUUAUUUAUUUAAUAUUAAUUAUUUUUGGUUUUAGUUAUUUUAUUAUUUUUGUUAAUUUAGUUGGGGUGAUUGUUAAAUUUAACUUUAAUUUUUUUAUUCAUUUUUUUUAUGAUUAAUUGAUCCUUUUUAGAUUAUAAGAUUAAGUUACCUUAGGGAUAACAGCGUAAUUUUAAUGGUAAGUUCUUAUUUAUAUUAAAGUUUGCGACCUCGAUGUUGAAUUAAGAUAAUUCUAUGGGGUAGGUUUUAUAGUUUUAAGUCUGUUCGACUUUUAGUAUCUUACAUGAUUUGAGUUCAGACCGGUGUGAGCCAGGUCGGUUUCUAUCUUAAAAUUUUACUAUUAUUUUAGUACGAAAGGACCAUUUAAUACAAUUCUAAAUUGUUUUUUUUUAAU
rnacentral:rRNA from 1 species